rnacentral:lncRNA from 1 species
CUCACCUGGGUCCCUCAGAUCGGGGGAGGGAUUUUGUGGGAAUGGCACAAAAGGUUGGGAAUGGCUGGAGGGGUUUUAUGGGAAGAUCCCAGUGUGGAACUGGGAAUUGUGCACCUGGAAUGUCCCUUUGGGGACAGCGGGUGACAAUGGGGUGGCACCGGGGUGUCCCCUCUAUUCAGGGUCCUGGGAUUGGGGAGGGAUUUUUGGGAAUGGCACAAAAACUUUGGGAGGGGUUUUAUGGGAGGAUCUGGGAAUUGUGCACCUGGAAUGUCCCUUUGGGGGACAGUGGGUGACAAUGGGGUGGCACCAAGGUGUGUCCCCCUCACCUGGGUCCCUCAGAUCAGGGGAGGAAUUUUGUGGGAAUGGCACAAAAGGUUGGGAAUGGCUGGAGGGAUUUUAUGGGAAGAUCCCAGUGUGGAACUGGGAAUUGUGCACCUGGAAUGUCCCUUUGGGGACAGCAGGUGACAAUGGGGUGGCACUGGGGUGUCCCCUCUAUUCGGGUUCCUGGGAUUGGGGAGGAAUUUUUGGGAAUGGCACAAAAACGUUGGGAGGGGUUUUAUGGGAGGAUCUGGGAAUUGUGCACCUGGAAUGUCCCCUUUGGGGACAGCGGGUGACAAUGGGGUGGCACCAAGGUGUGUCCCCCCCUCACCUGGGUCCCUCAGAAUUUUGGGAAUGGCACAAAAGGUUGGGAAUGGCUGGAGGGGUUUUAUGGGAGCCAAUUCCAGUUUGGAACUGGGACUGUGAGGGAAGGGCUGGGUUUUCUGGAAUUCUGGAAUUUUGGGGAUUUUGGGAAUUGUGGAUUUGUGGAAUUCCCAGGGAGGGAUCGACCCCAGAGCGGCCCCUGGGAUUUGGGGGGGUUCAGGGUUUCCCACAUUAUGGGGAUAAUGGGAAUAAUGGGAAUAAUGGGAAUAGGAACUGAGGGGAGUGGGAAUAAUGGGAAUAAUGGGAAUAAUGGGAAUAAUGGGGAUAAUGGGAAUGGGAACUGAGGAGAGUGGGAAUAAUGGGAAUAAUGGGAAUAAUGGGAAUGGGGAGAGGGGUAGGAAUGGGAAUAGUGGGAAUGAUGGGAGUGGGGAGAGUGGGAAUAAUGGGAAUAGGAGAAGUGGGAAUGGGAAUAAUGGGAAUAAUGGCAAUAACAGAAAUGGGGAGAGUGGGAUUGGGAAUAAUGGGAAUUGAGGAGAGUGGGAUUAAUGGGAAUAAUGGGAAUGGAGAAAGUGGGAAUAAUGGAAUAAUGGGAAUAAUGGGAAUGGAAGUAGUGGGAAUGGGGGGAAUGGGAAUGGGGAGAUUGGGAAUGGAAAUAACGGGAAUGGGAACUGGGGAGAGGGGAUGGAAUGAGGGGAGAAGGGCUGGGAAGGGGGAAUGGGAAGGGAGCAGGAACUGGGAUGAGAGAGGGUGGGAUAACUGGGAUAAAAGUGGGAAAGGGGAGAGGGGAUGGAAAGGGGCAGAGGAAUUGGGAAAAAGGGGGAGAGGAAAUGGGA